ACCGUCGACAGUCAGGUAACGAGCGAGACUCCUGCGUCUAGUUGCUACCAUUACUCUCUGGGGCAGUGGAGCGAAUUAGACGGACCGCCACAGUUAAUGUGGAGGAAGGAAGGGGCCACGGCAGGUCAGUAUGCCCCGAAACCCUAGGGCUACACGCGGGCUGCAAUGGUAUUGACAAUGUGUUCCGAAUCCGAAAGGAGGAGGCAAUCAUCAAACAAUAUCUCAGUUAUGACUGAGGGCUGUAACUCGCCCUCACGAAUAUGGAAUCCCUAGUAACCGCGCGUCACUACCGCGCGGUGAAUACGUCCCUGCUCCUUGCACGAAUUCGCCG
rnacentral:rRNA from 1 species